rnacentral:lncRNA from 1 species
GUUCACUGUUGCUAUGGAACCUUAAUUAGAUUUUGUAACGAUAUUACUAAUGUACUGGCUGAAAAUAGUUAGCGAGCACAAAUGGGCCAGUUUGUAUUGAGAAAAAAACAAUCGCAAAUUGCCGGGAUGCACAAUUUUCUAUCUUGCACAUAACAAAUACUCCAGCGCCUGGAGGUGCAACCUCAUGUUUGGAUGUGCGUAUUUCGGGUUAGUGAGUGUGACUUCGCCGCAAGAUCUUCCAUGUUGGCUAGCCCGCAAAGGUCUCUUCCAGCCCUGGCCGAUCACGGUUAACUUCACUAAGGCGAGAUCAGAAAAAUGAACUGGUUAAGAAACUCCACCUCAUUACCGUCAAAUCAUUCCUGGUGCCUUUCAAGCCUAAACAAUUUGUAACCGACGCUUUUCUCUCUCUAUAUAUGCGUGGUCUUUGACUCUUUGUUGAUAGAGGUAAUAUGAAUUGGAACUAAGAGGCACAAGAGAGAAUGGUCUAUUUUCAUCGCUGCUAAAGGAAAUUGGAUUUGGAGUGGAGAGGCACAUGAUAGAUCACUUAGUUUUUAUCGGUUGGGUAUAUGGUGACAUGAAGGUGCUCUGCUAGCCCACCACAUUGUAUGUCCUUUGUGUGCUUUGGUACUAUUUUAGCACAUGAGCUACACAUCUCUAGUCAGCUUUGAUUUGAUAUCUUCAUGUUUAUGCAUAGUAAAAUCAUAUAUUCACCACAUCACAUGCUGACACCCGGUGCACUCCUCCACGGAUAAAUCAUCGGUCAUCAAACAUGCUACAAAAUAUGGUAUGUAGCGCAACCACAUAGCAUGACUUCCAUGGACAGAUCAUGAGCAUGUUCAUUACAGUCAUAAGGAGAACUCACCCAAAUGGUUUCAUUUAUUUGAAUGAAUCUUUGUACUUUGUAGGAACGCUCAUCCGAUGUAUGCAUUACCUCGAGGAAACGGGGAAACAAAUCUAAUUAUUUUGUUUGGAUAGAAGCAAUGACAACAACGAGUGAGAGUGUCUCACUUCACUCCUGAAGUUAAUGCAAGUAUGGAUUGAUUUUCUGUUAUUCAUACAAUUCAAAAGAGGAAGAUCGCCUUCUCGAGGAAAACCGGCCUUCUUGCUCUCGACACCUAUGCACCUGAGAAUCUUCGUGACGUUCUUGCGCUGAGAUACCAACAACUCUUUCCUGAGGAAUUAGGUUAAUAUGUUGGCUAUGGAAAGCAAGCUAUAACAGAUUGCAUAGUUAAAUAAGAAUGUAACUUUAUUAACUCUCUAAACACAUCUAGUAUAAUUCCUUACUGAGCCCUAUGUAAACGGGUGUCAUGUUCUCUUUACAAUGGAGUGAUUCUCCAUCUAGGUUUUCAUAAUAAAAGGUUGCUUUUUCAUUGUGAACAAAAGAAGAUGAUACCAGUAGAUGCGUUUAUCCAAUGGACACUAGAAAAAACACAUAUGUGACAUUAUGAGUCAAACGAUUUUUUUUUGUCAUAGAUAUGACACUUACAUGACGAUAAUUAUGACAAAAACACGUAUCAUCAUAGAUGUGGUGGCCUCUUCUGACCGUGGUAGGCUAGAGGAACCUUGCAUUCUUGUAAACAAUAGAGGCUCCCCAAGAUUGCUAGACGAUAUGUUUGUUGGGGCCUGGGGAAACUAGGACUCUUUUUAGUCAGGAGUGCUUACCAUUCGGCGUCCGAGGAGGCUACACGUGACAACACUACUUUGUCGAGCUCUGCACCAGAUGGCUGCAGUCCAUGUUGGAAGCCCAUAUGGUCAAGCGACGUGCCUCCUACUGUGAAUUUUUUUUGCUUGGCGACUUUCCACCAACUCGCUUCCUACUUGGCAAAAUAUGCACAAGCGGGGACUUGAAAUACAAGAACAUCUACAGCUGGCCUCCUCAAAUACCCAUAGACGUGCCCGAUCAGUCCAUCAUGUAGGACGUGAUCCAUCCUAAAUCAUUUUUUUCUAUUCUUUUUUUUCUUUCUCUCUCUCUUCACCUUUCUGCAUGGGCAAAUAAAUAGGGGCUUAAAAUGAACACGUCGGAGCAUUGAUCGGGCGCAUUCAUGAAUGUUUAGGGGCCUGCUUUGUUAAGCCCAACUGUAGAUAUCUGAUACUCAAAACUAAAUGAAAUUGCUCACGUAUGGUUUCUCUAUGUGAGAUCCUACGGAAAAAGAGCGUCCCACCGGCACUGAAGAUCGGUCUUCACUAUUGUUCCAUUAUGCGUUACACAUGCUAUUGAACCUUAAUUAGUGUUUGUAACGAUAUUACUAAUGUACUGGGUGAAAAUAGUUAGCGAACACAAAUGGGCCAGUUCGUAUUGAGAAAAAAACAAUCACGCCAUGUCGGGAUGUGCAAUUUUCUAUCUUGCACAUAGCAAAUACUCUAGCGUGCAACCUCAUGUUUGAAUGUGCAUAUUUCGGGUCAGUGAGUGUGACUUUGCCGCAAGGCGGGGAUUAUAUUUAUCUCCCACGUUGGCUAGCCUGCAAAGGUCUCUUCUGGUCCUGGCCGAUCACUAUCAUCUUCAAUAAGUCAAGAUCAGCAAAAUGAACUGGUUAACAAACUCCACCUCAUUACCGUAAAAUCAUUCCUGGUGCCUUUCAAGCCUAAAC